rnacentral:lncRNA from 1 species
AUGCCAAUAGCCCCCACAUUCUGUAGGGCGUUGGGUGCCUCUCCGAGGACAGAGGGACUUGGCGGCGGGCUGACGUGCCACCUGCCUUUACACGGGGAAAAACCCCGGGAUUUGGGGACUUUUGGGAGAUCAUCACUCGGGGCGGGGGUGGUGCAAUGCUGCCACUUCUCCGCCAGGCGGCGCCACCGCACCCACCGCUCCCGCCCCACCUCGCCAUUGGCUGCUCCCCCGCGGCCGCCGGCGCCAGUGAUUGGUCGGCGUUUGGAGGGGCCGCCCCCGCCCCCCCUUCCUGAGGCUAUAAGAAGCCCCGGCGUGGCGGUACCGCUCGCUACCGCCAGGGGGCGCCGCCGAGGCAGCAGUGCGAGAGAGCGGGCGGCGCGAGGGAGCGGGCGGCGCGCGGUGGUACCGGGGGGAUUUGGGGGGUCUCUGGGGGGAGAGGGGUGUGUGCGGGGGAGGCUGCCGCCCCUUCCGGGCUGUUCCCAAAGCAGAGCGGUCGGGACACGGGCGGAGGGACCGGAGGGGCUCUGGGGUGGGGGCGGAGGGGCCGGGGGCGGGCUCUCGGUGCCGGGGGACGCGGGUGGGCGAUGCCGGGAGCCCCGGUCGAGGGCUCCUGUGGGGGGGUUAAUGCAUUUUUGGUGCAGGUCUGACGGUCCCCGUGUAACGCCGGAUUCCCCAGGAUCCCCAAAUGAGAUCACCCCCCAGGGCGGUUUGGGCUGCACAGACGGGGCGUCCCCUGAACCGCCAGGACAUGGGCUCGGCGUCCAAACCCACAGAGCCGAUAGUUGGUGGACUGUCAGAACUUCCAGGGGUUCUCCAAAGAGGGGAAGCAGAGAUGCUCGUUACUGCCCCAAUCACCCUUCAGGUGCUGGCUGUUACUUUGAAGAUCCUGCAUCCAGUUCCAGUCGGUCCCUGAGUCCAACCUGGGACUCUCCCAGUGCCGGCCAGUGAUGUGAGCGCCAUCCUGGGACCUCCGACUGUCCCAGGUCCCUCCCUGUGCAGGGAUGGACGGAGGAACCCCCAGCCAUGCUGGGACCCACGUGGGGUGAGGAGCCCCAAGAAGGAGCCGGGCUGCCUGCGCUGACGCUGUCGCCUGCCCCACACUUGGCUGAGGACAGAUGACAACCCAGCCUGGAGACCCUGCAAGGACUGCACAGCUCCAGCUCCGUACGGCUUCAGGUUGGUUAUUUGGGACCCUGUUUAUUUUGGGUCCAGCUCAGUUUGGGCCCCUAGUUGUUCCAGGCCCAGCUGCUGGACGGCUGCAGUUCAGUUUUGGCUCCAGCUCAUUUGGGGCUCCUGAUGGUGUCUGCUCUGGUUUCAGGUCCAGCUUACAGACAGCUACAGUUCACGGGUGGCUCUGGCUCGUUUCAGCUCCUGUUUGUUGUGACUUCAACCCAUCUGCAGCCUCAGGUUGGUUGUUUCUGUGCUUGUUUUGUUUCUGGUCCAGCUUGUGGACGGCUCCAGCAUGUUUGGAGCCCCAGGACAUUGUUUCUGUCCUGGUCCAGGCUGGGGUACAGUUCGUGUUCUCCACAGCAGUUUGUAGGGGGCUGCUUUGGGUUUGUGCUGGAAAUGGUGUUGACAGCAGAGGGCUGGCUGAGUUUUUGCUGAGCAGUGCUUGCACAGCCGGGUGGGGGCCAGUGGGUGGGGAGCAAUUGCCUUGUGCUUCACUUCUGUAUGCUUUAUUGUUAUUGUCCUGUUAAACUGUCUUUAUCUCAACCCAUGAGUUUUACUUUUUUAAUGUUUUUCAGUUCUCUUGCCCGUCCUGCUCUGGGGUGAGCGUGGGGCUCAGCUGCCGGCCGGGAUCAACCACAGCAGUUCCUACACCUGUUUGUUCCAGCUCUGCUUGGGCUGUGACUCCAGCUCCUGCUUGGUCAAAGGAGCCUGGCUUUUGGCCAGGUCGUAAAUCAAUCACUGUCAUAACUUGCAUAUGAAUAAAAACUGUCAUAAUUGUACA